AUUGAACGCUGGCGGCACGCCUAACACAUGCAAGUCGAGCGGCAGCACGGUUUAGUCACUUGUGACUGGAUUGGUGGCGAGCGGCGGACGGGCGAGGAUAACGUAGGAAUCUGCCUUGAAGAGUAGGAUAACCCGGGGAAACCCGGGCUAAUACUGCAUAAGCUCUGAGGAGGAAAGCUGGCGUGAAAGCGCUGGCGAUUUAAGAGGAGCCUACGUCGGAUUAGCUAGUUGGUUAGGUAAAAGCUGACCAAGGCGAUGAUCCGUAGCUGGUCUGAGAGGACCGACAGCCACACUGGGACUGAGACACGGCCCAGACUCCUACGGGAGGCAGCAGUGGGGGAUAUUGGACAAUGGGGGCAACCCUGAUCCAGCGAUGCCGCGUGUGUGAAGAAGGCCUGCGGGUUGUAAAGCACUUUAGUGAGGGAGGAAGGUUACGGGGGGAAUAUACUUGUAACUUGACGUUACCUCAAGAAUAAGCAACGGCAAACUCUGUGCCAGCCGCCGCGGUAA
rnacentral:rRNA from 1 species